ensembl:snoRNA SNORD116 Small nucleolar RNA SNORD116
GGAUCGAUGAUGACUCCCUCAUAUGCAUUCCUUGGAAAAGCUGAACAAAAUGAGUGAGAACUCCUUACCGUCGUUCUCAUCGAAUCUGAGGUCC